GUCCACGCCGUAAACGAUGAUAACUAGCUGUCAGGGCCCUUAGGGUUUUGGUGGCGCAGCUAACGCAUUAAGUUAUCCGCCUGGGGAGUACGGCCGCAAGGUUAAAACUCAAAGAAAUUGACGGGGGCCUGCACAAGCGGUGGAGCAUGUGGUUUAAUUCGAAGCAACGCGCAGAACCUUACCAGCGUUUGACAUCCUCAUCGCGGAUUCCAGAGAUGGAUUCCUUCAGUUCGGCUGGAUGAGUGACAGGUGCUGCAUGGCUGUCGU
rnacentral:rRNA from 1 species